GCCUUCCUUGUCCUGAAUCUUGGCUUUGACGUUGUCGAUAGUAUCGCUGCUCUCGACCUCGAGAGUGAUGGUCUUACCGGUGAGGGUCUUGACGAAGAUCUGCAUUCUUAGCUUUGGCAGCUUGUGGCUGCGUUUUGGGCAGAGAGAGAGAGAGAGGGAUUGAAUUUAAGAAUGGACAACUUGGUAUGGGGCUGUGGGCUUAUUUAUUGAGGGAAGUUUUCCUUGUCCAUGCUGGACAGGUAAAGAAUCGCCCAAUCGAGAAUCCGAUCGCCUUAUUGGAGAUGGAAAGGAGAGAGACGGCGUGUGUGAUUUUAUAUAUUUG
rnacentral:misc_RNA from 1 species